UAUCGAAACUUAAUAAAUCUGAUAAGGACUCAAUUAGGGAGAGGGGGUGGACGUGUAAAUCCUCAAAGACGUCAGUAAUGCUUUGGCGUUUAAGGAACAAAAUUUAUACAUUCAAUAAGCUGAAAUCUUGGGAGAUUAUCACCGUUUAGACAACUUUCUCUGUGGGAAGAUGGGCGAAACAAUCAAGCAUCUAUUCCUGAACUGUGAUUACACAAGGGAGUUACGGCUCCAAUUUACAAAUAUGACAGGAGGAGCUUCAUGGAAAGUAUUUUCCUUUUAGCUUUUAUAAAAUAAGAAUUGAUAUUUUUUUAACCGAAGC
rnacentral:lncRNA from 1 species